rnacentral:rRNA from 1 species
UGGCGACUGGCGCACGGGUGAGUAACGCGUAUCCAACCUGCCCUUUACUAUGGGACAGCCCGUCGAAAGGCGGAUUAAUACCGUAUGUUGUCAUGUUGAUGCAUAUUUUCAUGACCAAAGGCUUCGGCCGGUAAAGGAUGGGGAUGCGUCUGAUUAGCUUGCCGGCGGGGUAACGGCCCACCGGGGCGACGAUCAGUAGGGGUUCUGAGAGGAAGGUCCCCCACAUUGGAACUGAGACACGGUCCAAACUCCUACGGGAGGCAGCAG